UGUUCUGAUCAAUUUAAAUUCAAAAAAUUUAAAUGAACAAAAUCUUUCACUUACAAUUUUACUUGGAGAAUAACUGGAUUUAGAUGAGCGUGUACAAGUUUGUUUGUGUCUAGUCUCAGUUGAUUAGUAGAAAGACGAAGUAAACGAAGUGUUCCUUUUAUUAUUUGAUUAUGCGAGCAAGCGACGGCUGAUCAUUGGCCGCUGUACCGUGAAAUUGAGGUAAUGAUAAAACACUGCUGCUUGCCAUCAUCACUGAUGAUUCAAUAAAUAUCAUUCGGCGACUAUCAUCGAGCUAUAUCACCAACGGGAUACAAUAAAAAAUUGAACAGGAAAAAAAAUGCGAGUAGCAUCAGUUACAGCGUCUUCAGUGAGUAAAGCCGGUUGCAUCAUCGGCGACCGAAAUCUACGUUCAUGCAUCCCGGUCUGAAUUUCGGUCUGAAUAGCAUUAACGGACUCAAAAAUACCACUAAUAAUUUAAAUUUAAAUUAUAUGGAAUCUAAUUUAUUUUAAAUUGAAUUGUAUUUUUAUUGUAAUAUUGAAGUCGAGAUUGAAGUGAAAUGUAUUUAAAAUCCCGUUGUAUUUCUACUGUAAAACAAUAAAAAAAUGUGAGAAAAACA